rnacentral:piRNA from 1 species
UACUACAUAAGUAUGAGGAGCUAAGUUC